AUCUAUGGGCAUACUACCCCGAACAAGCCUGAUGUCUGAUCUCGGAAGCUAAGCAGGGUCAGGCUUGGUUAGUACUUGGAUGGGAGACCACCUAGGAAGACCAGGUGCUGUAGGCA
rnacentral:rRNA from 1 species